rnacentral:hammerhead_ribozyme from 1 species
GAACUCCUGAGGAGUCCAACAACAGGACGAAACGGCCGUUCAAUGC